rnacentral:rRNA from 1 species
GCGAACCCGCGAGGGGGAGCCAAUCCCAAAAAGCCGCUCUCAGUUCGGAUUGCAGGCUGCAACUCGCCUGCAUGAAGCCGGAAUCGCUAGUAAUCGCGGAUCAGCAUGCCGCGGUGAAUACGUUCCCGGGCCUUGUACACACCGCCCGUCACACCACGAGAGUUUGCAACACCCGAAGUCGGUGAGGUAACCCUUACGGGAGCCAGCCGCCGAAGGUGGGGCAAAUGAUUGGGGUGAAGUCGUAACAAGGUAGCCGUAUCGGAAGGUGCGGCUGGAUCACCUCCUUU